GGUCGGUUGGUGCAAUGGUAGCAUGUAGACCUCCUAUUACUCCGUACGUUGGGUCACUCCGUGUGCGGACAGUAGGUCUAGUCUAGGGUUGCGGGUUCGAGUCCCGUGCUGACCG